AUCAUUAUCUAUUUACUGUGAAUCGUAUUAUUACUUGACGCUUGAGGGAUGUUCCAUUGCUAUAAGGAUAGGCAUUGGAAAUGUUAACCGAGUCAUAAUCAAGCUUAGGCUUGGUAUCCUAUUAUUAUUUACCAAAAGAAUUCAGAAUUAAUAUUGUAACAUAGACGUAAAAAAUCUAUAAAACAACUUUUAACAACGGAUCUCUUGGUUCUCGCAUCGAUGAAGAACGUAGCAAAGUGCGAUAACUAGUGUGAAUUGCAUAUUCAGUGAAUCAUCGAGUCUUUGAACGCAACUUGCGCUCAUUGGUAUUCCAAUGAGCACGCCUGUUUCAGUAUCAAAACAAACCCUCUAUCCAACUUUUGUUGAAUAGGAUGACUGAGAGUCUCUUGAUCUUUCGAUCUCGAACCUCUUGAAAUGUACAAAGGCCUGAUCUUGUUUGAAUGCCUGAACUUUUUUUUAAUAUAAAGAGAAGCUCUUGCGAUAAACUGUGCUGGGGCCUCCCAAAUAACACUCUUUUAAAUUUGAUCUGAAAUCAGGUGGGAUUACCCGCUGAACUUAAGCAUAUCAAUAAGCCGGAGGAA
rnacentral:rRNA from 1 species